UCAAUCCCUGGCCUCACUCAGUGGCCACGUGAGCUGUGGUGUAGGUCACAGAUGCGGCUUGGAUCUGGCGUGGCUGUGGCUGUGGCGUAGGCCAGUGGCUACAGCUCAGUUAGACCCCCUAGCCUGGGAACCUGCAUAUGCUGCAGGUGUGGCCCUAAAAAAAAGACAAAAAGACAAAAAAAAAAAAUAAAAUAAAAUAAAUAGUAGCUGAAAAUUCACCAAAUAUGGAGAAAAAAUUGGGCAUCUAAAUUCACACUAAUUUUAAACUAUAAUUUACCCUUAUGCAAUGCAGGGGUUAGGGGUACCUUUCACCUGCACAGUCAAAAAUCUGAGUAUAACUUUAUAGUUGACCCUCAUUUGAGGUUUCAGAUCCAUGGUUUUGACCAUCUGCACAUUGUUUAAUACUGUGGUAUCCAUUUAUUGCAAAAAAAAAUUUGUGUAAUGUAAGAGUGGACCUGUGCAGUUCAAACCCAUGUUGUUCAAGGAUCAACUGUGUGUUAUGUUACAGUAAUCAAAAAGUAUGGUUCUGGAAUAAAAACAAGUACGAAGACAAUAGGCACAGAAUUGAGAGCCCAGAAAUAAACUCAUGUGAAUACAGUCAACUAACACUUGACAAGGGAGUCAAGAAUACUGAGUACAGAAAGGAUAGUAUUUUCAAUAAAUGGUGUUGGGAAAACUGCAUGUCCACAGGCAAAAGAAUGAAUUGGGUCCCUGUCUUACACAACUCACAAAAAUUAAAUGGAUGAAAGACUUAAAUGGAAGACCUGAAUGUGUAAAACAUGUUAGAAUAAAAUAUGAAAAACUCCUUGAUGUUAGUCUUGUAGUGAUUUUUUCGUUUUGUUUUGUUUUUGGUAAAUGAACAUCAAAAGCACAAGCAAUGAAAGCAAAACUAAACUAAACAAGUGAGACUAUAUCAAAUUAGAAGGCUUUUGCGUAGCAAUGGAAACAAAUAUUAAAAGGCAGCCUAGGGGGUAGGAGAAAAUAUUUUCAAACCAUAUGUCCGGUAAGAUGUUAAUAUUCAAAAUAUAUAAGGAAUGCAUAGAACUCAAUAGCAGAAGCAAAACAAACAGUGUGACUCAAAGUGGGCAGAGGAUCCGAAUAGACAUUUUUCCCAAGACAUAAAUCACAACAGGUACAUGAAAAGGUGCAUAAUAUCACUAAUCUUCACCAGAGAAGUGCCAGUCAAACCACAGUGAGUUAUUACCUCACAUUUGUUAGCAUGGUUGUCAUCAAAAAGGCAAGAGAUAACAAGUAUUGGUGAGGAUGUAGAAAAAAGGGAACCCUGUGUGCUGUUGGUGGGAAUGUAAAUUGUUAUAGCCAUUAUGGAAACAAUAUGGAGAUUCCUCAAAAGAUUAAAAACAGAGCUAACAUAUGAUCCAACAGUCUUAACCAAAGGAUAUGAAAUUAGGAUCUUAAAGAGAUGUUUGCAUCCCCAUGGUCAUUAUAGCACUGUUCACAACAGCUACGACAUGGAAACAACCUGUGUCCCUUGAUGGAUGAAUGAAUGGAUUAAAAAAAUGGUACAAAUAUAAAAUGGAAUAUUAUUCAGCCAAUGGAAAGAAGAAAAUGCCGCCAUUUGUGGUAACAUGGGUGGAUUGAGGGCGUUACGUUAAGUGAAAUCAAAGACAAGUAAUAUAUGAUCUCACUUACGUGUCGAACCUAAAAAAGUCAAAAGUCACAUUGUGGCUGUGGUGGAGGCCGGCAGCUGGAGCUCCAAUUUGACCCCUAGCCUGGAACUUCCAUAUGCCACAGGUGUGGCCCUAAAAAGUAAAAAAAAAAAAAAAAGUCAAAUUCAUAGAAACAAAGAGUAGAAUGGUGGUUGCUGGGGGCUAGGGCAUGGGGGAAGUGGGGAGAUGAUGAAAGGGUACAGACUUACAGUAAUAAGACUAAGUUGUAGGGGUCUAAUGUAUAGCAUUGUGGCUAUACAUAUAAUACAGUAUUAUAUACUUUAAAUUCUCUGAGGGUAGAUACUAAAUAUUCCCACCACAAAGAUAAAAAAGAAAAUGGUAGUUAUAUGAGUUCAUGGUGAGUUAGUGAGUUAACUUAAAGUACUGUGGUAAUCAUUUCACAGUAUAUGCAUGUAUCAAAUUUUCACAUUGAACAUCUUAAACUUACAUAAUAUUAUGUAUCAAUUAUAUUUCAGUAAAGCUGAAAAAAAUGAAAUGGUUAUGUUAUAUUCACAAUUCUCCAUGCAGAAAGAUUGGCAAAUGGAGGCACUGAUAAGAUUGUUUAAAAGAUGCAGUAAGAAAUAUCUUAAGAGUUCCCUUUGUGGUUUAGCGGAAAUGAACCUGACUAGUAUCCAUGAAGAUGCGGGUUCGAUCCCUGGCUUCACUCAGUGGAUUAAAGGUUCGGUGUUGCUGUGAGCUGCAGUGUAGGUAGCAGAGGCAGCUUGAAUCCUGUGCUGCCAUGGCUGUGGUAUAGGCCAGCAGCUGCAGCUCCAAUUCUUCGCCUCCUAGCCUGGGAACUUCCAUGUGCCACAGGUGCGAGCCUAAAAAAAAAAAAAAAA
rnacentral:lncRNA from 1 species